AGCGGCGCACGGGUGAGUAACGCGUGGAUAAUCUGCCCAUGAACCUGGGAUAACAACGAGAAAUUGUUGCUAAUACCGGAUAAGCUCACGUACUGUAAGGGUAAGUGGGAAAAGGCGGCCUCUGGAAUAAGCUGCCGUUUGUGGAUGAGUCCGCGUCCCAUUAGCUAGUUGGUGGGGUAAAGGCCUACCAAGGCGACGAUGGGUAGCCGGCCUGAGAGGGUGGCCGGCCACACUGGAACUGAAACACGGUCCAGACUCCUACGGGAGGCAGCAGUGGGGAAUAUUGCGCAAUGGGCGAAAGUCUGACGCAGCAACGCCGCGUGAGGGAAGAAGGUCUUCGGAUCGUAAACCUCUGUCGGGAGGGAAGAACGGCAUGGGGUCGAACAGGCUCUGUGAUUGACGGUACCUCCAAAGGAAGCACCGGCUAACUCCGUGCCAGCAGCCGCGGUAAUACGGAGGGUGCGAGCGUUAUUCGGAAUUACUGGGCGUAAAGGGCGUGUAGGCGGCUUUGUAAGUCAGAUGUGAAAGCCCACGGCUUAACCGUGGAACUGCAUUUGAAACUGCUUGGCUAGAGUACGGGAGGGGGUGGCGGAAUUCCCGGUGUAGGAGUGAAAUCCGUAGAUAUCGGGAGGAACACCGGUGGCGAAGGCGGCCGCCUGGACCGUAACUGACGCUGAGACGCGAAAGCGUGGGGGAGCAAACAGGAUUAGAUACCCUGGUAGUCCACGCUGUAAACGAUGGAUGCUAGGUGUUGGGGAGCAAUCUUCANUGCCGCAGUUNACGCGUUAAGCAUCCCGCCUGGGGAGUACGGNCGCAAGGCUGAAACUCAAAU
rnacentral:rRNA from 1 species